AUUGAACGCUGGCGGCAUGCCUUACACAUGCAAGCCGAACGGUAACGCGGGGCAACCUGGCGACGAGUGGCGAACGGGUGAGUAAUGCAUCGGAACGUGCCAGUAGUGGGGAUGACCCGGCGAAAGCCGGAUUAAUACCGCAUACGACCUACGGGUGAAAGCGGGGAGUCGCAAGACCUCGCGCUAUUGGAGCGGCCGAUGUCGGAUUAGCUAGUUGGUGGGGUAAAGGCCUACCAAGGCGACGAUCCGUAGCUGGUCUGAGAGGACGACCAGCCACACUGGGACUGAGACACGGCCCCAGACUCCUACGGGAGGCAGCAGUGGGGAAUUUUGGACAAUGGGCGCAAGCCUGAUCCAGCCAUGCCGCGUGCGGGAAGAAGGCCUCGGGUUGUAAACCGCUUUUGUCAGGGAAGAAACGGUCUGGGCUAAUACCCCCGGACUAAUGACGGUACCUGAAGAAUAAGCACCGGCUAACUACGUGCCAGCAGCCGCGGUAAUACGUAGGGUGCUAGCGUUAAUCGGAAUUACUGGGCGUAAAGCGUGCGCAGGCGGCUUUGCAAGACAGAUGUGAAAUCCCCGGCGUCAACCUGGGAACNGCAUUUGUGACUGCAUCGCUCGAGUGCGGCAGAGGGGGCAUGGAAUUUCCGCGUUAGCAGUGAAAUGCGUAGAUACGCGGAGGAACACCGA
rnacentral:rRNA from 1 species